UACGUAGGGUGCGAGCGUUAAUCGGAAUUACUGGGCGUAAAGCGUGCGUAGGCGGUUCCUCAAGUCCGUUGUGAAAUCCCACGGCUCAACCGUGGAAGUGCAUUCGAAACUGCAGGGCUAGAGUCCUGGAGAGGAAGGUGGAAUGCUUGGUGUAGAGGUGAAAUUCGUAGAGAUCCGGAGGAACACCAGCGGCGAAGGCGGCGUCCUGGACUGGUCCUGACACUCAGGAGCGAAAGCGUGGGGAGCGAUCCGG
rnacentral:rRNA from 1 species